GAAGAAGGUCCAGGAGCUAGUCUCAAUCACGCCUUCUUUGAUCCAUUACAAUAAAGGCUCCUCACUACCCCCUCCAGAGCCUGAAACUGUGAACCUGGGUGAGGUCUGGCUGGAACUAAGCCCCUGCUUCACAAGAGAGCAAGAAUCAAAAUCCAAUCAAGGAAUCAAACACAGCUUGCAGCUAGGCAAAGUCAUUCACCUUGGUACCCCAGUGGGCCCUGAACUAGGGGUCACAAGCUUGAAGAUCUGGAGCCACCGGCGUGGGGAAGGAUUCCUAUCUGGGCCUGGGUCCUGACCUGGCCAUUUCCUCUUGGCUGACGGUGGGCAGGAGACUUCUAGACCUCUGAAAUGUGCAGGGUCCAGAACAAUGGCAGGCAAGACAGGACCGCCAACAGAGCCCUCAGAGAAGACGGCGGGAAAGGCGGCAGGGAGGAGAAACGAGGGACUGGGAAGCAACCCUGAGACCUUGUCU
ensembl:lncRNA